AGAGAGAGAGAGAGAGAAAUAUUGACAACAGCUUCGUCUUUCCCUAAAGGCUUUACAGUCAUCUUCGAACUUAAAAGGAGUGGGGGCUUAUUUCCUAUAACUCAAAGGAAAAGCUCCUAGGAAGCAAAAUCAGAUCGGUGCCCAGCCUUUGUUUUUGCCUCCUAAUAUUAGAUUCCUCUCCCUCUAUGUCAACACCAGACCUGAAAAAUUUAAGGCAAUGUAUUUCAUGAUCUUUACGUACCAAUUAAUUUUAACGAUGCAUUAAUUUUCAAAAGACAGGUGCAGAAGCGUCUCUGUGCAAAAUCAAAACAAGCAUUUGUUUCAUACAGGGAGGGACCUAAACAGCCACAAUGAUACGUGCUUUUACAAACGUCAGAUUAUUUUCAAGGGCAAAUCCCCCAAGUGUGCAUUUAUUGUACACAAAGGGUCAUUGUUUUAAGCAACUGAAGAGGUUGGAUAAAAUGAAGAUUUUCUUCAUAAAUACGAGGUAAAAUUAAAAAAUGUUGUUUUCUUAAUGAAAAAUGUAUUUUGAUCCAUUUUUUUUUAAAUUACGGGACAUUAGUUCAGGAUUUUUGCCCAUAGCUAGCCUAUAUUCACCACUUAAAGUGCAGUUCACCACCCCCACAGCUGAGAUGUAUGCGGUUUCCUAGGCAACACACAUUUUGCCACUGAAUGAACAGGAAUUGAAAGGAAGACUGCAAAGGCUGCAGGUCCCUGGUUAUUUCUUCCCCCACCCUGUCCGCCCUUCUCAUUGCUAGAAAUUUUAGGAAUAUUGGGAAGUUGUCAUUCUAACAUUUAUGUAAAAGAGCCAAAUGCCCAGAGAAUUGGACCUAGAAAGGGAUUGCAGCCACAUAUAGUAGCCGCGGGUGGGCACUGGGAAAGGGCUCCCGGGCUGUCUCCGGUCAGCCUGCCGGAGGUUCACCCUCUGAUUCUCUCCUUUUUCCCCUUCCCUCUUAGAAACGAGUAGCUAUUGUGCUGCACAGCACUGUCCAGAGCUCUAGAAUGAAGGCGCUACUUGGGUGGGGGGCUCCGAGCCCCCUGACCUCCUGCUGCAGUGGGGUUCUGUAGGGAUCAGCCACUUAGGCAACAAAAGACUGGGAUCUGCAGAGAAAAUUUCGCAUCUUGAAUGCAGCAAAAGCAUGCGGGCGCCUGCACCUUGGUCUUUGUUUCUCAUCGGGGCUGGGUGUUUUCCCAUGGCCAGUGCUCAUGAAUUUGAAUUUUAAGAGCCAACAUCCAGUCAUCAAGCCUUUCACAAAAGAGGGUUGUCUUCCUUGUCAAGCAAAUCAGCAGGAGGAGGGGAACCCCUGAUUUUCCAGGGCACCCGGAUCCUUUCAAGGGCUGCCUCCUCUCCUCCAAUCCCUAGCAAAGUUGUUUGGGUUUUUUUUUGUUUGUUUGUUUGUUUUUUGUUUUUUUUUGUUUUUGUUUUUGUUUUUUUUUUUUUUAGAUUCUUCAACCUGGAGCACAGAGAAGCACAGAAUUGUUCACAGUGCAGCCUAGUAAACUGCAUUUCCAUAGUACAGAGUCGUCCUGGGAAGAAUACAAGAACCAGAAGUACUCAAACGGAGGCAUGCUAGAACUCAGACAGCCUGCCUGCGUAAGGUGCAGUCUGUGAAAGCCGUCAGUGUGAAAAUGGAUCCAUUUUUAAAUGGUAGAGUACACAGCAGAAGACAGAAUGGGGGAGACAUUUUAAGUGAAGGAGGCAGAUUGCUGUAGUAUCAGUGUGACCGUAGGCUGCCACCCACAUUGUUCCAUGAGCAACUGCUGUUUGGCAGUGUCUUCAGAGCUCACGGUCUCUCCAAAAUGUACCACAGAACUUUGCUUGUCACUUAAAUAAAAUGAUAAUAUACAUACACGCUAACCCCUCUGCUCUUUGCCCUAGUGAGCAUGCACCAGAACCUCUCAGCAAAUCAGUCUCUCCUUCAUUUCCCAAUUGGUGGCUACUCAUAGUCACAGCAUGGUUUAAAUUUUAUUUUAUUUUAUUUUAUUUGUAUUGUUUUGGUUUUUCGAGACAGGGUUUCUCUGUGUAGCUCUGGCUGUCCUGAAACUUACUCUGUAGACCAGGCUGGCCUCGAACUCAGAAAUCGGCCUGCCUCUGCCACCCAGGUACUGGGAUCAAAGGUGUGCGCCACCAUGGCCCAGAAAUUUUUUUUUUUUCAUUUAGAGGCUAUCUGAGAGAAUUUGUUGCUCCUUUUAAAGUAGCUUUUUGAAAAGGAAACAUAUUAGAAGGUUUAGUCUGGUAUGCAUAUUCUGUGGAGUUUUGAUCUGUUGUUAUGUAUUGCAGUGCUGAAUUCUGUACCGGAAGGCGUAGGUCUACAAAUUCUCACACUUAUCUGCCUUUGUUGUGCACACCUUGCUCCUCAGUGCACAGUUGCUCUCUUCAGACACACCAGAAGAGGGCAUUGAGUCCCAUUGCAACACCUUGCUCCUUAAUUUAAGUACGUGUUGUAAUGCUAAACACUGGCACUGGUUACCUCAGGGAUGAGAGAUCCUCACACAGACCAAGUAAUGUUAUGUAACCUUGCCCCCCCCCCCCAAGUCAACUCCGAUUGACCAAUAAGGAUGCCUACAGCCUAUAGCUGGGCAGAAGAGAGUUUGAGUUCCCUGGGCUUGGGGUCUGGGGCAGAACCAGGAAAAGAAAAUAGAGAGAAGAUGCAGUGGGGUAGGUAAAUCAUGGAAACAUGGCCAUGAAGGCUGGUCAAUUGGAGUCAAGAGUGACCCAGAUGAAACAUGGCAAGUCAUAACUCAGGGUUAUUGAUAGGGAAGUAGAUACUAAUAGCUUAGAGGGUAGAUAUCCGCCCAGUUCUAGUGCUUUAAAGGCUUAUCAAAAAUAUAAAGGUUUUGUGUGUGUGUGUGUGUGUGUUUUUUCUUCUGGGAACUGAAUGAUAUGGGGGGGAGGGGGUAGAUACUCUCAUAUGAGACUAAAUAUUCUCUACAACAUAUUUUAAUUAAAAGUGUGCC
rnacentral:lncRNA from 1 species